AUGAAUGCUCUGAAUGAACAAAACCAGCAGGAAGUCGGCGUGCCGGCCUCUGGCUGGACAUUGUCCACGUGUGCCCAGCGAUCUCUGCAUCCCCCAAAGCCAGGGCGUCUUGGGAGAGGAGAGGUCCCCAGAGGAGCAGCUUGGGUGGCAGCCAGCACAUGUGAGUGGGGCCGGAAACCAGCGGGAGGGCAUGCAGCUGGACUGAGACCAGCACUGCAGAGAGGGGAGCGUCGCCCAGACAGGAGGGGCAGCAGCCGCGUGACCCGCCCUGGGGUGUGUGCAGAGGGGCCGAGGGAAGGGCCUGGCACACUUAGUCACAGGCCUGUUCAGCUGGGGGGGGGGGGGGGAGGCUCACGAAUGGGGCCGCCUGUGUCCUGCAAAGCAGACCGAGAGUGCUCGCUGGGCACAAGCAGAGCGUGAGUGUGCGUGGUGGGGAAGACACUGCCCGAGGCAAGCUCGCCGCCCGGGUACACCAGCACCGGUCUGUGACGACCUGGAGGGAAAGGCAGAAUUGGCUGGUGUGGCUGAGCAGCAAAGGGGACGGGAGGCGGGGCUCGCGGCUGCCUCCCCGCUCGGGGGCCUGGCGCAAGCUUUACGGCUCAGGUGGGAAAAACCUAUUGGCAGAGGCACUGGCGAGGCAGGGGCAGGUGGAGGGAGGGCAGGAGGCCAUGUGACGGUUAGGGAGAUGGGCUGCCUGGCACGGGGCCCCUCCCUUCUUAAAGGUUCGAGCACCCAGGUUCUGCCCAACUCUGGUCCCUAGUCCCCCAAGUGCGCAUGCCCAGGUUGUGUGCCCUGCAGUCUGGGACUCUGUGUUCCCCGUGCACCUGCACCACUGAGUCUGACUCGGCUCCCCUAAGAAUACAGGCCCUUUGCAAAUAUGACCCAGGUGGGGUCGGCCCAGUGGUUAAGCCUCCUGCUGAGACAGCCGCAUCCCACUGAGAGUUCCUGCAUGGAUUCCCGGCUCCAGCUUCCUGCUGCUGCAGACCCGGGAGGCAGUGGUGACGCCUCAAGUAGUUGGGCCCCUGCCACCACGCGGGAGACCUGGGUGGAGUUGCUGGCUCCUGGCUUUGGCCUGGCCCAGCCCCGGUUGCGGAGGGCAUUUGAGGAGUGAACCAGCCGGUAUACUCUCCCUCCCUUGUCUCUCAAAUAAACAAAUAUGUAAAAUAAAAAUAUGAUGACA
rnacentral:lncRNA from 1 species